rnacentral:lncRNA from 1 species
UUUGAGUAGUUGAAAUAGAUAAGUCUUGAGUCAAUCAGUACAUCUGUACCACAUUCAUGUGGCAAAUGCUGCUUUAUGGAGAUGUUUCUAAUACUGACCUACAAUAAUUCAGCCAAGAUCACAUUUCUACUGUCUUCAGGAAAUGAGAAAAAUGAAUCUAGGAAAUUUCCAUCUUUAAAUAUACUCUAUAAGUGUGCUGUCCAAUACACACAUAGCUACUGAGCACUGGAAUAUAGCUAGUCUGAAUGGAGAUGUUCUCGAGCAGUUGAAGUGAAAACAAGAGCAUGGAAAAGGAGAUAUAUUUUGGUAGAUCCAAAAAUCUAUGUUUGAUAGAGUCUUCACAGAAAGAGUCGAAAUUGACAACAUGCUUAUUGCUUUGGCUUUGGAUGUUGGUUGGGAACAUGGUUCCAGAAUAUCCACACUUCAAAGUAGAUCUUACUUUCUGGAAGAGUAGAAAGCUCAUUACAUUAGUUAAUUUGAGAAGUAAGACAAGGGCUCAGAAAGGUACUAGUUAUUAGUACCUUAUACACUAGCCUGCGUGGCAUUCUUACCAUAACAGUGAAUUGUCAUGGUAAGAAUUGUGGUUUUAAACCUCUUUUCCUCAGACGUUACAUGGAGUAAUAUAUGUAUCCACAUACAUAUUAAAGUAGGAGGUAGAUAUUAUAUUGACUGGUGACUUGAGGACAUGAUACACAAAAUAGGUAACGUUUGAUGAAGCUUGAAAUGAGCCAAGAAAGGACAAAUCUGGAUAACACACUGUAGUCUUGGUGAUGAGAAAGGAGAAAGGAAAGAUAAUGAAGAUGGAUAUCAUAUUGUUUUGCCUUGAAUUUGCAGAAAGAGAUAUUUGGAUUAUGACAUUACCUUAAAAAAGGCAGUUGAUAUUACUCAGUGAAAGUUAAGAAGCCAAGAAAACUAUGUGUGUGUACAUAUAUGUAUAUAUAUGUACAUGUUUAUUUCUUUUUUUAAAAAAAUUCUUACCUACCUCUCUACUAUAAAAAAAUUAAUUUCAUUCUUUUUUGUUGCAUUUAAACUUUAUCUUGGUAAUAGUCAUAUUACAAAUUUGCCUAUAUUGUUGGUAUCAUAUUGUUACUAUAUAGAUAUAUUAUAUUUGUAAGCAUAAAUGUGUGGUAUUCAAAUGUUUAACUGGUAAUAUUCAUAUUACAAAUUUGCCUAUAUGUUUGGUAUGAUAUUGUUACUAUAUAGAUAUGUUAUAUUUGUAAGCAUAAAUGUGUGGUAUUAAAAUGUUUAACAACUCUCCAUUUUUUCUCAACUAACCCUCCGACAAAAGGCUGUAUUUAUAUAAAACUGACAGAGUUUUAUGGUGGAUCAUUUUCUUACAUUAAUUACAUAGGUAGUAUUAUUUUAGUUGGAGGUCAAAUAACAUACUAUCAAUGACAAUUUAGAGAUAAAUUGCUUUGAAAUCCUGAUAUGGAAGAGCUAUAGAAAUAACAUAGGUGACCUCACGUUUUUAAGAUAGCCUCUCUGCACCAUAUGGCUAGUCCCAAAUGGAGAUCAAGAAAGCAAGGUCAUUUUUAAUCUCUACAUACAUCUUGCUUUCCUGGUUUAACACUAAUCAUUCAUUGUAUUCUGCAUAUUGGAAGGGAGUAGAUGAAGGAUACUAAGAAUUCACUUUGAAAACAUGUACUCAAUGUUUCAUGUCCAAAAACUCCCAGGGAUUAAACAAUCAGAAAACCCUACAUCAUUUGCAUUUUAAUGGAUAAAAAUAAGAGUUGAAACAUUUCUUUACACUUAAACUACCAUGAACAAGCUUACGUAGCUAUUAGAAGUGAAGAUGGGGAGGAGGAGGAAGAAGGGGACUCUGAAAUUUAAGGAAAAUUCAUUUCUUUUACAGAAUUGGAGCUAGGCUGAUUAAGUCAAGGUGCCUGACUCUGCUAGAGACACAUUUUCCUAAUGAAAAAUACUGUAACUUCAGACCUUUCACAUUUUCCAUGAAUAGAUGUCAUUACUCAUUAUCACAUUUAUCAUUACUUGUAAAACAGUGAGGUGGCAGCAGGGGGGAAAGGACUAAAAUAGAAUCGAAAAAAAAAAUUUGGUACUAGCUAAGGUAAUUUAAAUGAAGCUUUUUUGUUCCAGAAGCAAAGGCGACCUCUGUGAUUACUCCAUCAUACCUUUGGGAAACUGACAUAAGGUAGUGGACAACUAUAAUGGAAAGAAUAGUAACUACGGUUUCUCUCCACCCUCCUCUAAUUCUGCAUUAGAAAUGAAAAAAAGCUUGACUGGUAAAAUUCUGAAACAGAUAAUGAGUUGUUUAAGUGAUAAUUACUGAAUCUCAUUUUUAGAAGCCCAUUAACAGGUAUCUCUUUAGUCAUGAGAAAAUUAUUCAUAAAUGUUAAAUUAUGUGAUCACAUGUGCAAGUUUCUUUCAAAUUAUAGAAUCUGACUAAUUUCACAGUAACUGUUUGCCAUUAAUCGGCUUUAAGAUUUAAUCAAGUAAAGGCAUCAUUGAUUAAUUCUAAUUUGUAAAGCCAAAAAAAGUGUAACAUUAUUAUCUUUAGUCAAACUUCUUCAAAUGUUCAUGCAAGGUAGAAAUUGAAAACAACAGGUACUCCUGUGCUUACAGUUUCUCCAGUUCAAAGAACAAAAUUCAUCAAUGGGGAGCUGCAGUGGAUCGUAGAGUAAAAUCUUGCUGCCCAACUAGAGAAUAAAAAGAGUUUGACCAGACUUAUAACAAUGACAUAAUGGCCAUUUUGUUGAGUUCUUAAUGAGUUUAGUAGGUAAUGAAAUGGGAAAGGUUCUCUUGUCCCCCUCGCAGGGUGUGCGGUGGGGGUGUGGCUUGCUUCCUCAGUGCCCCACUGCUCAAACUUCUAGGGGAGCAUACAGACGGGCAGGCUGUGGGGCUCCAACCCCACGGCAGUGUCUAGGGGUGAAUGUUUACAGCUCUUGAAGUGCCAGUGGGCGUGUGUUACAGGGUGCUCUUUUAGUUUGCCCUCUCUAGACUGCUUGUGUUAACCAGCUCAGCUGGACCCUCUACUUUGUUGCGAGGACAGAAGGCUUUCUGUAUCUCCAGGUUCUUGCCUUGGUGUACCAGAAGAAUCAAUCACGCAUGGUCUUGGAGAAUGAGUGCAAAGUUUUAUUGAGUGGAGGUAGCUCUCUGCUGCUUUUCCACCAGUGUGCUCUCCACAACCAGCCACUUGUGUGUUCUUCCACUGAUGUGUCCUCUCAAUGUCCGGACGCUUCUGUCUCUGCCUUUCUAGGAUCUUGGGCUUUUAUAGGCCUUGGAUGGGAAGGUGGUGGGCCAGGGUGGUCUUGGGAAAUGCAACAUUUGGGCAUGAAGUCAGGAGUGCCUGUUCUCGCCUAGGUCCGUGCGGGUAAAGAACUAGCUAGGGACCAUGCCUUCCUCUACCCAGCACUUCCCUUCCCCAUUCCGUAUCAUUUAAAGGGACCACACUCUUCCCUUCCCAGCACUCCUAUAUCAGUAGGAAGAGAGAAGAAAACUCUAGAUCACCAUCAAGUUCAAGUAAUUUCAGAUUUUUCAGUGAAUAUAUGUUUGCUGUGUUCUUCAGGUACCAAGAUGUAGGGAAAUGAUUAAAAGGCCCUGAGAUAUACAAUACUGAAUGGUAGGGAGGAGGAGGCCUUCUAGGUUGGAAAGUCCCAUAGCUGACUAGCUACUAAAUGUUCUAUCAGCUAUUGAUAAGACCACGUUCAGAACAUACAGAAAUUGUAGGAUAUAAUUUUUGUAUAUUACUUGUCACCAGCUGCUCAAUAUUAUGAAUUAUACCUGAGACAUUACAGAAGUUGAGAAUGAAUUGUGCCCAUAAACAGAAAACAUAUUAACCUAUAGAAUACACUCGUUUUCCUUUUAGAGACACGAAUACCCCUAGCUCAAGGAGUUGAUAGGUAUAAAAUAGGCAACUAGGGGCAUGCAAAUAUUGUGGAAAUGGUGUUUCUGAUUGGCACUGGUAGAUUUAUUAUUCGAAAUAAUCCUGUUGGCAAAAAAAAAGACAUUGUUUUUCCGUAUCAUAAAAUCUGAUUUCAAAAACGUGCUCCUUUUUGACUUUCUCUAUAAGUUUUUAAGUCUGCAUUCUUCUCUCAUUUUUAUUUCCAGGCUCUAUUUGUAAUUUGUGUAUUGCUAACCAGUUUUCAAUAAAAUAUAUAAUAAAUAAGAUUUUUGGUUUUUA